rnacentral:rRNA from 1 species
AGUGAACGCUGGCGGUAGGCCUAACACAUGCAAGUCGAACGGCAGCACAGUAAGCGCUUGCUCUUACGGGUGGCGAGUGACGGACGGGUGAGGAAUACAUCGGAAUCUACUUUUUCGUGGGGGAUAACGUAGGGAAACUUACGCUAAUACCGCAUACGACCUACGGGUGAAAGCAGGGGAUCUUCGGACCUUGCGCGAUUGAAUGAGCCGAUGUCGGAUUAGCUAGUUGGCGGGGUAAAGGCCCACCAAGGCGACGAUCCGUAGCUGGUCUGAGAGGAUGAUCAGCCACACUGGAACUGAGACACGGUCCAGACUCCUACGGGAGGCAGCAGUGGGGAAUAUUGGACAAUGGGCGCAAGCCUGAUCCAGCCAUACCGCGUGGGUGAAGAAGGCCUUCGGGUUGUAAAGCCCUUUUGUUGGGAAAGAAAAGCAGCAGGUUAAUACCCCGCUGUUCUGACGGUACCCAAAGAAUAAGCACCGGCUAACUUCGUG